UGGGGAAUAUUGCACAAUGGGGGAAACCCUGAUGCAGCGACGCCGCGUGAACGAAGAAGGUAUUCGUAUCGUAAAGUUCUGUCCUAUGGGAAGAUAAUGACAGUACCAUAGAAGAAAGCUCCGGCUAAAUACGUGCCAGCAGCCGCGGUAAUACGUAUGGAGCGAGCGUUGUCCGGAAUUAUUGGGCGUAAAGGGUACGCAGGCGGUUUAAUAAGUCGAAUGUUAAAGAUCGGGGCUCAACCCCGUAAAGCAUUGGAAACUGAUAAACUUGAGUAGUGGAGAGGAAAGUGGAAUUCCUAGUGUAGUGGUGAAAUACGUAUAUAUUAGGAGGAAUACCAGUAGCGAAGGCGACUUUCUGGACACAAACUGACGCUGAGGUACGAAAGCGUGGGGAGCAAACAGG
rnacentral:rRNA from 2 species